rnacentral:misc_RNA from 1 species
UUUCCGUAGGUGAACCUGCGGAAGGAUCAUUAUCGUACAAAAUGUGAGGGGCAUGCGAGGGCUGUCGCUGACCCAAAAGUCGUGCACGCCCGAGUGUGUCCUCUUGCAUAAUAAUCCAUCUCACCCUUUGUGCAUCACCGCGUGGGUCCCUUUCUGGCUCGUCCGGAGGGGGGCUCGCGUUUUCACACAAACUUGAAGUAGUGUAGAAUGUCCUUUUUUUGCGAUAACACGCAAUUAAUACAACUUUCAACAACGGAUCUCUUGGCUCUC